rnacentral:rRNA from 1 species
UACGUAGGGUGCAAGCGUUUGUCCGGAAUUAUUGGGCGUAAAGAGCUUGUAGGCGGUUUGUCGCGUCUGCUGUGAAAUUUCGGGGCUCAACCCCGAACUUGCAGUGGGUACGGGCAGACUAGAGUGUGGUAGGGGAGACUGGAAUUCCUGGUGUAGCGGUGAAAUGCGCAGAUACCAGGAGGAACACCCGUGGCGAAGGCGGUUCUCUGGGACGGUACUGACGCUGAGACGCGAAAGCGUGGGGAGCGAACAGG